rnacentral:rRNA from 1 species
GACGAAGGGGGCGAGCGUUGUUCGGAAUCACUGGGCGUAAAGGGCGCGUAGGCGGCGCGAUAAGUCAGGCGUGAAAGCCCCAGGCUCAACUUGGGAAAUGCGCUUGGGACUGUCGUGCUAGAGAGCGGGAGAGGAUGGUGGAAUUCCCAGUGUAGCGGUGAAAUUCGUAGAUAUUGGGAAGAACACCGGUGGCGAAGGCGGCCAUCUGGACCGUUUCUGACGCUGAGGCGCGAAAGCGUGGGGAGCAAACGGG